rnacentral:rRNA from 1 species
AAUCAACGCUGGCGGCGUGCCUAACACAUGCAAGUCGAACGCGAAAGGGGCUUCGGUCCUGAGUAGAGUGGCGUCCGGGUGAGUAACGCGUGGGUAAUCUACCUUUGGGUGGGGAAUAACUAGUCGAAAGGCUAGCUAAUACCGCAUAAUGCAAUUUUCUGCUAGAAUUUUGUUAAAGCAGUAAUGUGCCUAAAGAUGAGCCUGCGUCUGAUUAGUUUGUUGGUAGGGUAAUGGCCUACCAAGACUACUAUCAGUAGCUGGUCUGAGAGGACGGCCAGCCACAAUGGCACUGAAACACGGGCCAUACUCCUACGGGAGGCAGCAGUGGGGAAUUUUGUCGCAAUGAGCGAAAGCUUGACGCAGCAACGCCGCGUGAAGGAUGAAAUCCUUCGGGAUGUAAACUUCGCAAGUAUGGGAAGAAAAAAUGACGGUACCAUAUGUAAGCCCCGGCUAACUCCGUGCCAGCAGCC